UCAAAGUGACAAAGUCUGUGUUCGUUAUUUGUCAAAAUGAUCGUAUGCUUGGACUAGAAGCUCCCAAACUAAGUGAUCCUGAUUCGUCGUGGGUGAUCAACGUAUUUAUUGAGAAAGCUGGAGUUGUUUUAACAAGGUUUAUCGACGUAUACAAGUACAAAAACAAAGACUUACGGCUUUGGGCUAGUCGUGGUAAUACAGACUAGACAAGACCAGAUUGUCGAAGGUUUUAAAUCUACAUUUCAGUCCAUCUGUCCGUUAUCCUUCCUGAGAAUUUUGACCAUGUAGUGGAAUCAUCGCUUUGAAAAUUUGAGAAGUAACUAACCGUGUCUAAUGCCAUGGCAUCUAACGAACUACAAGAAAAAGCAAAUUAUACAAGACUUAGUAGACUUUUAGUUGACAAAGGAACUGAGGCUUUCAGAAAUACAUUUGAUACCAUCC